CUGCGGGGUGUCCGCGGGGAGCGGCGGCGGAGAGCGGCCCCGGGAGUGCCCCAUCGCUCCCGGCCCCACCGUCAGCCCAGUGCUGUCGCGGUGAGCCCGGCGGGCGUCCGUCGGGGGGUGUCAGCUCCCCCCGUGGUGUCCGUCAUCGGCCCGGUGUCCGCGACAAAGUCCCGGUGUGAACGGUGGCGGUAUCCUUACCUGGAAGAGAGUCUUCGCACAGAACCGUCCUCCUUACAGCAUCAGUCCAGCUGCGGGGACGCUGUUACACCGAGAGCUGUAAUGCAUGCAGCACUGAAAGACCCGAAAUCGGUGCUGAAGGACCUGAAAUCAGCAUGGAAAGACCUGAAAUCCGUGCUGAAGGACCAGGAACCAGAACAGAAAGACCUGAAUUCGAUUCUGAAAGAUCUGAAAUCAGCACGGAGAGACCUGAAAUCAGUGCUGGAAGAUCUGAAAUCAGUGCUGAUAGCUCAGGAAUCAUCACUGAAAGACCUGAAAUCAGUGCUGGAUGAGGUGAAAUCAGGCUUUUAUUCCCACUCCCGUGAGCAAAUGACCCGCGGGCUGCCUGUGGAGUCAGCACAUGCUGACAUUCCCACAAGCACAACGUGAUGCUGCCCUCCGAAUUUGCUCCCCUCCAUUGAGAGCACACGCAGUGCCGAAGCAGCCAUCAGCUCCACACCUCGGCUGCCUGGUGCUGAGGGCUUCAUUACUUCAUUGCCUGUGGGAACGUCCCUUUAAUAUGAAAUGUUUGUCAUAGAUUGCGGAAUUUUUAAACAAAUUCACACAUGAAACACUUGUCUUAGACCUGCCCUCCCCCCACCUCUGUUUGGUGUGGACCUCACUAAGGAAUUCAACUUCAACUCUUUGGAAGUUAAGCUGGUGUGUCUACAAAUUAUUCCACGAGAAGGGGAAAAAAUUGCAGUGAAUAAUAAUCAGCCAUCUGCAGAGCUGGCUGACUACUAGAAAUGUGUUCCCAAAUAGUAAACAGGCCAAAAUUAAUAACAAAUGUUACUUGCAAUGAGUUAUUCUACUAGAUCUUCUCUCAACUUGAUGACAUCUCCUCUCUAUGCAGACACUCACCUCCAAUGUUGGGAUUUCCAAACUGAGACCCACUCAGCAGCAGUGCAACCGGACCCAUACACCUGACGUUUGCAAAUGCACUUCCAGCUCUGUGUUUGGCCAUGCUGCGGUGUUCCAGAGCCUGACUCAUCGCUGCUGCUGCCGGGGCUGAGCGUGGGGCUCCAGCAGCAGCCUCCCAAGAAGGGGGUUUACUCACUGGGCAGAGCAAUUGGGAGGUCACCAAGUUUCACCCAUCUGCACCCUACGUUGCUGCAGGCUCUGCUGGCAAAGCUGCAAACGUGACACCUCUUGGAGGUUUUGUCCUUAAUUUUGGAUGAGUUUCUCUUGGUACCAACAGUUUUGGCUGAACAGUGCUUGAUAAAGGUAGGAAACCUGGGGGUGAUGCAUUAUACCCACUUCUGUGAACAUGCAGCUCUUUGAGUCCCAGUGCCAAAAUAAUGAUCCCAGGGAGAACGUGGGGGUUUUUAGAGGGUUGAAGCAAAGGUUGCUUUUCCUUUUACUCAACCUCAACCUUUCCAGGUGCUCCCAUACAACUUCACAAGGAAAGGCUUCAAGCCCAGAUCCUCCCAUAACACUCAGCCCAUGCCAGUGCCCCAUAGCUGUGAUUUUUCCCCUUUCCCACUGACCCAUAGCCUACAUGGGAUCAGGGGUUAAACUGGGAGUGUGGCCGAAAAGGGAGUGGGGAACCCAAUGCUUAAUGAGUGCUUAUAGGGCUGGAGGCAAAGGGAGCAUGGCCUGACAUGGAGCUGCUCCCAAAGAAAACAUCCCAUUGUAAUGGGGAGCGGGGUUUGGGACAGAGCAGGGGGAAGCAGAUUGAUCACCAAGGGGCAAUGUGACCCCGUGUGGGCUCUGACAACAAAAGCCUCUUCAUCUAAAAUGAAUAGGAACAAUGGCUAAUGGGGGCAGGCCGGCAGCAGCCCGCGGGUCUGUGAACCUGAAGGAGAGGGAGCAGGAACGUCCUGUUGUACCCCAACCCUCCACUGAGCUCAGCCAUCUCCUGGGUUUUUCCCUUUUGAAGUCACAACGAAAGUUCAAGGACUUCUUGCCUGCAGGUUGCGGGACCCAUCUUGUCCCUGAGAACUCCAUUGGGUCCUCACCCCUGCUAUGGUUCCUGGGUGAGCCCUGGUCCCACCAGACCUUUGGGUGCAGAAUCCAUGUCAGCAGAGCCUCCUGCAUCCUUCAAUAAAGGACUUUUGGGGGGCAUAUUUUCAGUCUGCCCUCACUUAACCCAACACACUGACCUGACCCGUUGCACAAUAUUGAAUGCCUGCCCCCAGCAAGCAAGCAGACCUGUGAGCAGAAAGCAGAUGAAACCUUGAUCCUGCUUUGGCUGAGGCAGAAGGCACUCAUCCAGCAGCUGCUGCCUGGAUCCAUCUCCAUCCACCCCAUAUUGAAUCCUUCCUCCCAAUGGAGGCUGGGCCAACUUGAUCAGGAAGCUGGCACACGGUGUGUGGACAUCUGGGAGCCUCGGGUCAGCAGCAUGAAUUAAUAAGAUGUGGUAAGGGGAGGAGGCUGAAUGGGACUCAAGGCCCUGUGUGGGCUCAGGGGUGAGUUUCCCCACAGGGUCCCUGUCCCUCACCCUGCCCUUCCCACUGUGCUCAAAGCCUUGACCCUAUGGAUGGAUGGGAGGAAGACCUCUGGGAUUUUGGGAUUAUGCUUCUGUGUCAAGGGGGCAAAAGGACUGGUGUUCAAAUGACCCCAUUUGAAAUAUAUAGGCUGAUGUAUAUCUGGAGUGCCUCUGCAGGUUGUUAAUGGCUCAGCCUUCUGUGAAAGUGGCUGCAUCAGUUCCCAAAGGCUGCAAUGUGCUACAUGGUGGAUCUGGGUGCUACAUGAUGGGGUUGGGUGCUAAGUGGUAGUUGCUACAUGUGGCGUUGGGUGCUGUAUGGGGCAGUUUGGGUGCUACAUGGGGAUGGUUGGGUGCUUCGUGGAGGGGUUGGAUGCCAUAUGAUGGGGUUUAGCUGAUACAUCUUGAUGUUGUGUGUUACAUGGAGUGUCUGCUACCUGGAGGGGUCUGGGUGCUACAUGAUGGGGUUGGGUACUAUAUGGUGGAUGCUACGUGGUGAGGUUGGGUGACAUGUGGGGUAGUUUGGGUGCUACAGUGGGGUUGUUGGUUGCUACAUGGAAGGGCCUGUGAUAUAUGAUUGGGUUGGGUGCUACAUGGAGUGCAUUGGGUGCUACAUGGAGCAGUGUGAGCGCUGCAUGGAGGAGCUGGUUGCCACAUGGAGCAGCCUGGGUGCUAUAUGGUGGGCUUUGGGUGAUACAUGUUGAUAUUGGGUGUUGCAUGAAGUGUAUACACGGGGGAGCUACAUGGUGGUGGUUGGGUGCUGCAUGGCGCUGUAGACUGGUCUGGGUGCUACUUGGUGGGGCUGGUUGCUGUAUGGGGCAGUUUGUGUGCCCCAUACAUGAGGGGUACAGGUGCCAUAUCAGAGGAGCUGGGUGCUACAUGGAGGAGUCUGGGUGCUCCAUGCUGGGGUUUGGAUGUUGACAUUUCCAUGCGUAUUGCCCAUGGUGAGGGCUGUGCUAUUCUGGCACCCCAACCUGUUGGUUGCUCCGCUUGGCUGGCAAAGCAAAGCAAUCACCCAACAUUACUAGCGCUCCGCAGCCACUGCAGGCAAAUAUUUACAAGAGCUCUCCAAGGGAAACCCAUAAAAUGCUCCCUGGUAUAGCUUUUGGAGCAUCACUCCAGACAGCUAUAUUAGCUGGAACACGAAGUAGUUACACUCCUGCUGCUCUCCCUGUGCUUUCGAAACAGAUACUUGUCUCUUUUAUUACCUUUGUUUGUGUCUUGUUUUAUUUGUGUGCUGUGUGCCUCGUUGUGCUGGGUUUGGUAGGAUUGUGACCGGCCGUGGUUUGGAACAACAAUAAAUACCAUCG
ensembl:lncRNA